UGAAAGCGUACAUAGGCACCUUUUUUGAAUGCCAGCACUGCAGGGAGCACUUCAUGGAAGGGUACA
rnacentral:ribozyme from 1 species